UACGUAGGUGGCAAGCGUUAUCCGGAAUUAUUGGGCGUAAAGCGCGCGUAGGCGGUUUCUUAAGUCUGAUGUGAAAGCCCACGGCUUAACCGUGGAGGGUCAUUGGAAACUGGAGGACUUGAGUGCAGAAGAGGAGAGUGGAAUUCCAUGUGGAGCGGUGAAAUGCGUAGAGAUAUGGAGGAACACCAGUGGCGAAGGCGACUCUCUGGUCUGUAACUGACGCUGAGGCGCGAAAGCGUGGGGAGCGAACAGG
rnacentral:rRNA from 1 species